UACGAAGGGGACUAGCGUUAUUCGGAUUUAUUGGGCGGAAAGGGUACGCAGGCGGUUUGUUAAGUCAACUGUUAAAUCUCCCGGCCUAACCGGGAAUCAGCGGUAGAUACUGGCAGACUAGAGGAUGGAAGAGAGAAGUGGAAUUCUUGGAGUAGAGGUAAAAUUCGUAGAUCUCAAGAGGAACACCGAUGGCGAAGGCAGCUUCUUAGUCCAUUUCUGACGCUCAGGUACGAAAGCGUGGGGAGCAAACAGG
rnacentral:rRNA from 1 species